rnacentral:rRNA from 1 species
CCUACGGGUGACAGCAGUGGGGAAUAUUGGGCAAUGGAGGCAACUCUGACGCAGCAACGCCGCGUGAAUGAUGAAGGUCUUCGGAUUGUAAAGUUCUGUGAUGGGGGAUGAACACAAUGACGGUACCCCAAGAGCAAGCCACGGCUAACUACGUGCCAGCAGCCGCGGUAAUACGUAGGUGGCAAGCGUUAUGCGGAAUGACUGGGCGUAAAGGGGGCGUAGGUGGUUUAGUAAGUUGGCGGUGUAAUUCCGGGGCUCAACCUCGGCGCUACCGCCAAAACUAUUAGACUAGAGUGCAGGAGGGGUAAGUGGAAUUCCUAGUGUAGCGGUGGAAUGCGUAGAUAUUAGGAGGAACAUCAGGGGCGAAGGCGACUUACUGGACUGUAACUGACACUGAGGCACGAAAGCGUGGGGAGCAAACAGGAUUAGAUACCCUAGUAGUC